UAUUCUGCCCUACAGGGAAGGAUGAGAAGCUUCGACUAAGGUUCGACUCGAGCGAAGCGAGAGAACGUUGCCGCAGGCAAUGGCCCGAAGGCGAGGCGCUUUAGCGCCGAGUAAUCCUUCCCCCCACCA
rnacentral:sRNA from 2 species